rnacentral:rRNA from 1 species
GGUUAAGCGACUAAGCGUACACGGUGGAUGCCCUGGCAGUCAGAGGCGAUGAAGGACGUGCUAAUCUGCGAUAAGCGUCGGUAAGGUGAUAUGAACCGUUAUAACCGGCGAUUUCCGAAUGGGGAAACCCAGUGUGUUUCGACACACUAUCAUUAACUGAAUCCAUAGGUUAAUGAGGCGAACCGGGGGAACUGAAACAUCUAAGUACCCCGAGGAAAAGAAAUCAACCGAGAUUCCCCCAGUAGCGGCGAGCGAACGGGGAGCAGCCCAGAGCCUGAAUCAGUGUGUGUGUUAGUGGAAGCGUCUGGAAAGGCGCGCGAUACAGGGUGACAGCCCCGUACACAAAAAUGCACAUACUGUGAGCUCGAUGAGUAGGGCGGGACACGUGGUAUCCUGUCUGAAUAUGGGGGGACCAUCCUCCAAGGCUAAAUACUCCUGACUGACCGAUAGUGAACCAGUACCGUGAGGGAAAGGCGAAAAGAACCCCGGCGAGGGGAGUGAAAAAGAACCUGAAACCGUGUACGUACAAGCAGUGGGAGCACGCUUAGGCGUGUGACUGCGUACCUUUUGUAUAAUGGGUCAGCGACUUAUAUUCUGUAGCAAGGUUAACCGAAUAGGGGAGCCGAAGGGAAACCGAGUCUUAACUGGGCGUUAAGUUGCAGGGUAUAGACCCGAAACCCGGUGAUCUAGCCAUGGGCAGGUUGAAGGUUGGGUAACACUAACUGGAGGACCGAACCGACUAAUGUUGAAAAAUUAGCGGAUGACUUGUGGCUGGGGGUGAAAGGCCAAUCAAACCGGGAGAUAGCUGGUUCUCCCCGAAAGCUAUUUAGGUAGCGCCUCGUGAAUUCAUCUCCGGGGGUAGAGCACUGUUUCGGCAAGGGGGUCAUCCCGACUUACCAACCCGAUGCAAACUGCGAAUACCGGAGAAUGUUAUCACGGGAGACACACGGCGGGUGCUAACGUCCGUCGUGAAGAGGGAAACAACCCAGACCGCCAGCUAAGGUCCCAAAGUCAUGGUUAAGUGGGAAACGAUGUGGGAAGGCCCAGACAGCCAGGAUGUUGGCUUAGAAGCAGCCAUCAUUUAAAGAAAGCGUAAUAGCUCACUGGUCGAGUCGGCCUGCGCGGAAGAUGUAACGGGGCUAAACCAUGCACCGAAGCUGCGGCAGCGACGCUUAUGCGUUGUUGGGUAGGGGAGCGUUCUGUAAGCCUGUGAAGGUGUACUGUGAGGUAUGCUGGAGGUAUCAGAAGUGCGAAUGCUGACAUAAGUAACGAUAAAGCGGGUGAAAAGCCCGCUCGCCGGAAGACCAAGGGUUCCUGUCCAACGUUAAUCGGGGCAGGGUGAGUCGACCCCUAAGGCGAGGCCGAAAGGCGUAGUCGAUGGGAAACAGGUUAAUAUUCCUGUACUUGGUGUUACUGCGAAGGGGGGACGGAGAAGGCUAUGUUGGCCGGGCGACGGUUGUCCCGGUUUAAGCGUGUAGGCUGGUUUUCCAGGCAAAUCCGGAAAAUCAAGGCUGAGGCGUGAUGACGAGGCACUACGGUGCUGAAGCAACAAAUGCCCUGCUUCCAGGAAAAGCCUCUAAGCAUCAGGUAACAUCAAAUCGUACCCCAAACCGACACAGGUGGUCAGGUAGAGAAUACCAAGGCGCUUGAGAGAACUCGGGUGAAGGAACUAGGCAAAAUGGUGCCGUAACUUCGGGAGAAGGCACGCUGAUAUGUAGGUGAAGUCCCUCGCGGAUGGAGCUGAAAUCAGUCGAAGAUACCAGCUGGCUGCAACUGUUUAUUAAAAACACAGCACUGUGCAAACACGAAAGUGGACGUAUACGGUGUGACGCCUGCCCGGUGCCGGAAGGUUAAUUGAUGGGGUUAGCGCAAGCGAAGCUCUUGAUCGAAGCCCCGGUAAACGGCGGCCGUAACUAUAACGGUCCUAAGGUAGCGAAAUUCCUUGUCGGGUAAGUUCCGACCUGCACGAAUGGCGUAAUGAUGGCCAGGCUGUCUCCACCCGAGACUCAGUGAAAUUGAACUCGCUGUGAAGAUGCAGUGUACCCGCGGCAAGACGGAAAGACCCCGUGAACCUUUACUAUAGCUUGACACUGAACAUUGAGCCUUGAUGUGUAGGAUAGGUGGGAGGCUUUGAAGUGUGGACGCCAGUCUGCAUGGAGCCGGCCUUGAAAUACCACCCUUUAAUGUUUGAUGUUCUAACGUUGACCCGUGAUCCGGGUUGCGGACAGUGUCUGGUGGGUAGUUUGACUGGGGCGGUCUCCUCCUAAAGAGUAACGGAGGAGCACGAAGGUUGGCUAAUCCUGGUCGGACAUCAGGAGGUUAGUGCAAUGGCAUAAGCCAGCUUGACUGCGAGCGUGACGGCGCGAGCAGGUGCGAAAGCAGGUCAUAGUGAUCCGGUGGUUCUGAAUGGAAGGGCCAUCGCUCAACGGAUAAAAGGUACUCCGGGGAUAACAGGCUGAUACCGCCCAAGAGUUCAUAUCGACGGCGGUGUUUGGCACCUCGAUGUCGGCUCAUCACAUCCUGGGGCUGAAGUAGGUCCCAAGGGUAUGGCUGUUCGCCAUUUAAAGUGGUACGCGAGCUGGGUUUAGAACGUCGUGAGACAGUUCGGUCCCUAUCUGCCGUGGGCGCUGGAGAACUGAGGGGGGCUGCUCCUAGUACGAGAGGACCGGAGUGGACGCAUCACUGGUGUUCGGGUUGUCAUGCCAAUGGCACUGCCCGGUAGCUAAAUGCGGAAGAGAUAAGUGCUGAAAGCAUCUAAGCACGAAACUUGCCCCGAGAUGAGUUCUCCCUGACUCCUUGAGAGUCCUGAAGGAACGUUGAAGACGACGACGUUGAUAGGCCGGGUGUGUAAGCGCAGCGAUGCGUUGAGCUAACCGGUACUAAUGAACCGUGAGGCUUAACCUU